rnacentral:rRNA from 1 species
ACAUACACCGGUAACCUGCAGAGAUGUAGGCCCCCUUGUGGUCGGUGUACAGGUGGUGCAUGGCUGUCGUCAGCUCGUGUCGUGAGAUGUUGGGUUAAGUCCCGNAACGAGCGCAACCCUUAUCUUAUGUUGCCAGCGCGUUAUGGCGGGGACUCGUGAGAGACUGCCGGGGUCAACUCGGAGGAAGGUGGGGACGACGUCAAGUCAUCAUGCCCCUUAUGUCCAGGGCUUCACACAUGCUACAAUGGCUGGUACAGAGGGCUGCGAUACCGUGAGGUGGAGCGAAUCCCUUAAAGCCGGUCUCAGUUCGGAUCGGGGUCUGCAACUCGACCCCGUGAAGUUGGAGUCGCUAGUAAUCGCAGAUCAGCAACGCUGCGGUGAAUACGUUCCCGGGCCUUGUACACACCGCCCGUCACGUCAUGAAAGUCGGUAACACCCGAAGCCGGUGGCCCAACCCUUGUGGAGGGAGCCGUCGAAGGUGGGAUCGGCGAUUGGGACGAAGUCGUAACAAGGUAAGCGUAGUGCU